GCUCUCCAAUAUAGUAAAUUAUUCUCUCCUGUUCCUCUACUAAUCCAGUCUCCCAGUUUUUAAUCUUUCAGGUUUUAGCUGCUCAUCGCUGGAUCCGUUCAUCGUUGUCCAUGUGGUUCCUGCCUUCUGGAUCCCUUGUUUUUCACACUGCUUGUUGGAUCUCCUCAUCCUGUAAACCUCCACCUUCAACACCACCAGUCAGACGGAGGAAGAUAAGAGAACCCAGUUCACAAAAAGAUUGACCAACAAUGAAAGCAGAAACCUGCUCCACCUGUAAACCUCCACCUUCAACACCACCAGUCAGACGGAGGAAGAUAAGAGAACCCUGUUGACAAAAAAUUGACCAACAAUUAAAGAAGACCUGCUCCACCUGCUGAUCUACUGGCUGUAACAGAUUGUGGAAAAGCAUCACCAGCAGCACUGGACCAAUCAGGAGAGAGAAGACACAGAGGACUGAAGGGACACAGAAAAUCCUGCUGGAAAUCCUGAGAUGAAGUUUCCUGAUGUAACCGGGGGAACCUGAGGACACAGAAUAAAGAAGGACCAU